rnacentral:rRNA from 1 species
AGAAUCAACGCUGGCGGCGUGCCUCAGACAUGCAAGUCGAACGAUUAAACUUUCCUUCGGGAAAGAUAUAAAGUGGCGCACGGGUGAGUAACACGUAGGUAAUGUACCUUUGGGUGGGGAAUAACUUAGGGAAACUUAAGCUAAUACCGCAUAAUGCAGCGGCUUCUUCGGAAGACAGUUGUUAAAGAUUUAUCGCCUAAAGAGCAGCCUGCGGCAGAUUAGCUAGUUGGUAAGGUAACGGCUUACCAAGGCUACGAUCUGUA